rnacentral:rRNA from 1 species
AUGAGUUCAUCAGGAAUUUGGAAGAACCUCAAAUUUCUCUUCAAGCUCGUAGUAGACAACUUCCUAUCCAUGGUGACCGUGCCAAUAGCGGCAGCCACUAUUGUUGUGGUAGCAAGGCUCGGGCACGAUGAGAUCCUGGGUCGGCUCAGAGCCCUUACACCUGCAUACCUCUUCUUGUCAUGCUUCCUCCCAGCCUCUGCAGUUACCAUGUAUCUAUUAUCACAACCACGGAAGGUGUACCUCGUCGACUACGCCUGCUUCCAUGGCACUCAUCUUAACCGCGUCCCAUUUGCCGCAUUCCUGGAGUGCGCGCGCCAAUCGUCUACACUCAACGAACGGAGCAUCCGUUUCAUGUCGCGGCUUCUCGAGAGCUCAGGGCUCGGCGAGGAGACCUGCUUGCCCACACCAGUCCACUAUAUCCCAUGGAAGAAGUACUUAACAUUAGAGGCGGCCCGCGAAGAGGCUGAGCUCGUGGUCUUCUCAGCCAUUGACGAAUUGUUUUCCAAGACAAACGUAUGUCCUGACACUAUCGACAUACUAGUCGUCAACUGCAGCGGCUUCAACCCAACACCGUCCUUCAUCGACAUGAUAAUAAACAAGUACAAGCUACGAGGCGACAUCCGCAGUGUGCACCUAUCUGGAAUGGGGUGCAGCGCUGGGCUGAUAUCAGUAGAGGCUGCGAGGAACCUUCUACAGACCGCGCGCCGAGGCGCACGAGCGUUGGUGGUAUCUACAGAAACUCUAUCCCCCCUUCUUUAUGAUGGGAAUGAGCGAGCUAUGCUUCUGCCAUUUUGCCUGUUCCGCAUGGGCGGAGCAGCCGUGCUACUGUCCACAUCCGCCGCCAAAGCCCGACUCCGGCUCAUGUCGGUUGUGCGUACGCUUACCGCGGCGGAUGAUAACUCAUAUAGAUGCAUACAUCGAGAGGAGGAUGACAAGGGGCACACUGGUGUCAAUCUCUCCAAGGACCUUAUCGCUGCUGCCGGCCGCACUCUCAAAGCCAACAUCGUCACCCUUGCACCCAUCGUCCUCCCAAUCUCGGAACAACUUUUGUUUGCAAUGUCCUUUGUGGCACAAAAGCUGACCAACGGGCGUUUCAAAGUGUACGUGCCCAACUUCCUCACAGCAUUUGAGCAUUUCUGCAUACACGCUGGUGGGACUGCGGUCAUCGAUGAGGUUCAACGCAGCCUCAGCUUGUCCGACGAGCAUGUUGAGCCAUCGAGGAUGACCCUGCACCGCUUCGGAAACACAUCCAGCAGCUCAACUUGGUAUGAGCUAGCAUAUAUAGAGGCCAAGGGCCGUAUGCAUCGUGGUGAUCGCGUAUGGAUGAUCGGCUUUGGCUCAGGAUUCAAAUGCAACAGCGCGGUGUGGAAGUGCAUCAUUCCAUCCCCCGACACGAAUGGGCCAUGGGCAGGGUGCAUCCUCCGCUAUCCAGUGAAGAUCAAGUCCCUCAAAACAAGUACCAACAAUACACGCAUGCCAGGUCACAAUAAUAAGCAGUUCAAAGACACUUGA